AGGUCAGGUUGUUGAAUAAGGUGAGCUAUAGUUCAGAGCAACUGCAGGAAUGUGGAAGUACAUUUUAAUUAAGUGUUAUAAUCCAUAACUCCAGGAUAUGCUUGACCUCCCUCAACCCUGGCCAGACUCAAGAUGGGACCAGGUAGGGCUCAUUGGGGUCUUCAAAAAGCUGUGGAUAAACCCACUCAAGGAAAGGUUUUGCAAAUGAAAGGAGGCACAAGGGGCAAAUUAAUGGACUGUGAUGGCCUAAAGAACAACUAAGGAACAGAAUAAGAAAUCAAUCUUCUGCUAGAGUCUGGUGGAGCUGCUUCAGUCCCCUGGGAUGACAAUGAACACUGACAGCCACCCCCAAGAGGAAAAAAGCAUCAACAUCUGUGAAGGACACUAAGUAAGGUAGGCUACCUCUAGAGAAAAUCAGGGGGAGCAAGUAGACAACAAAACACCCUGAAAUUUAUUGGAGUUCAGGGUAUAAUUUUGCAGUCAGAACAGCACGGGGGCCAUAUUCUGCAGCCAUUCCUAUGCAAUAUGACCAAAAUUACUGGCAGUCUCCUUUGCAUGGAUACGUGGAACAGAGUUGGCUGCUUUCCUGUAUGUUCUACGUGCCCAGAUGGGAAGCAAAUGGAGCACCAGGACAGACAUUAGGGGUAAAUUAAUUUAAUCCAAGAGUGGGUUUCCUCACAGUAUUGCCUGCAUGGGAACAUCCACGUGUGCUUAGCCUUCCUCUUCCAUGUGUACCACUUGUGUUUUGCUUUGCUUAAAAACAGAGGAAAAAUCCAGUUGCUCAUCACAAGGCCUAUUUUCAGCCUACAUUUGGUCACAGGAGAAGUUUGCUUUGGUCCUUGCUUGAAAAGAAUUAAAAAUGGAAGAUUUAAGGAGGAUGUGGAUGUAGCCCACUCUUUUAUUCACACAUCUCCAGGUCCUUUGCCUCUUUCCUGGACAUACAAUGUCUCGUUUAUUUGUGCCACGUCACUGAGAGCAUCGUGGCAGCCCUCAGUGGUGAGUUACUGACUGGCUAAUUCCUAAGGUCAGCACCAACCCUCGCACAGAGCAGAAAUGUUCCUUCUACCUGAUUAGGCAGCACUGCAAGAGAGCAGUGGGAGGCCAAGGAUUCUCUGGUUACAAGGCUGAUUAGCCUUCCUUAAAACAAACUUGAACUGAACCAGGGGUGAAUGAUCCAGAAAGUAACAAAGUGCAUCUAAUUGGAGUAGAAACAGAACAAACUGUGCUCUUCUUUUUUGGCUUCCUUUUAUGCUUUAAUGAGAAGUGAUAAGCACCAUGUCUGAUACCAUUAAAGGGCUUGAGUGGAUGAGCCUCUUGUCUUGGGCCAGAUGCUGCUAUCCUUGACACCAACAUAAACAAGUAUUCCCUGGUAUGGAUCCAAGCAGCAGAGGCCUGUCUUACAUUGCAGCAGCCCAAGCUUGAACCUUGAAAAGCCCAGGCUUCUUUUCAGUCCUUCACAUUGCAAUGAGAACAUCUGACCUCUCCGCUUAACCCUAAAUUAAAUUUGCCUUUGGUUUUUCUGGGCAGGAGGGUCAACUUGCAAAACAUUUGGAGCUGCUUGGUUCCCACCAGUCUAAAGUUCAGGGGAGGUCAACUCACAGCAGUGCCACAGACCCCAGCCUUGUACAUCUGCUCGUUGUCACACGUGGAGCUGCACAUCAGCUGUGCUGAGUACAGAAUUCGCAUGGCUUCUCCUUGGGGCAGCUUCUUAUGCUCAAAGUGCACCGAGGCUGAAGGAGAAUGCACAGGAAUUCCUACAGAAGUCUCUGGCUGAGUCGAAAAGGAGGCACUGAAAUGUGCUGCUGUAACAGGAAUGUAAUGAAAACUGUAAUAUCAGCACUGGGUGCUGGUGAAAUUAUCCAGAUUUUUCAUAUCAUGCUGCAGAUUUCUCUGCUGUCCUUUACCCUCAUAUUCUUGUGGGAUUGCUUAAAAGAAAUAAAGGUGAUGCACCAGAGAUGUCUGAGAUGUGAUAAAAAUCAGUCUCUCUUUAAUCAGUAUCCCUUAACUAUGCAACUAGGGACAAUAUAUUAAUUUCUAAGUGGGAAAAGAAAGAGGGUAGAAAGUUCCUUCCUGUGUUUAAUCCUAAAAUUAUUUCCUGUAGAUGCUGAAUACUCUCCUUACGGCCCUGGAGGUGUUUCAGUAAGAGCACAUUUGACUGUGCCUUGAGGCUCACCAAGGGCUGGGCUGUCCCCUCACCAAGCACACAGCUGUAAAACAUCCUACACAAGGCAAGAACGAGGAUCUGACUCGGAUUUGAAUGACUUCUUGGUCCAGACAGGAAUCAGCCUGAGCCAGCUCCCUUGCCUUGAUGUGUUUUAGGAAGCUGACUGGGAUUCUGGGGAACUAAGCCAAGCCCUUGUCCCUCCUAAUGUGCCCACUCGGAGUGAGACGUAGCAGUGCCAGCCCUUAGAAAGGUGCCAGUUGUGCUCUCAAACGCAUUCAGAUUUUCAGGCUGGAGGUGUGGGGAUAGGCCAAUCAUUAGUUCUCAGUUUAACUUUUUUCCAGAGGUGUUGUGACCUCCUGCCCACAGAGGGUUGUAGGCUGUGCAGCUGCACAGGGCCAGGAUGUCAACACUGGCAUGCACAGCUGCCAGCAUUGCUCAGAGGUCAAGCUCCCAAAAUUAUGAGAGAGUCCAAGAGGAGAAGGAAGAAACCUAAAGCUUGGAAAAAGGCAGGGGGGGAAAAAAAGUCUGAAGCUUAAAUGUUUGUGGCAGUUCCUAAACUAUGGCAAGAGGUGCUCCCGACUCCACAAUCCUGUCCAAAGCCAGGGUUCAACCAAGAGCCAGGCUUCCUUCCCAACUCCACCCUCAGCUUCAGCAAGGCCAGACCAAUUCUCCCAACACUUGACAAAGCAGAUCUAUCCCAGGGAAGAGUUUUUCCAGCAUGCUAGGAAAAAAUCUGGCAACGCCUCUGGACAGCUUCAGCAAUCAAAACACUCCAGGGCCUCUCAUUUAUUGGUAAGAUUUUCCAAUGAUUCCUUGUUUAGUUUUCUUUUUAUAGAUUUUUGUCUUUCCUGUGAAAUGACAAACCCAAACAAAAAAAAAUGUGUUUGCUUUAUUUCUGUCCUUUUAAAACUCUUCUAAUGAGGGUAGCAAAGAGAUGCAGGAGGAUGGAAGAGGCUGUAGGGGGAUCAGCUGCUGAGCCAUGUCAGUGGCUAUGGACUAGUUUGACUCCAUCAUUCAUGGCACAGGUGAACAUUUUUUGGAGGCUGAGGGAUAUUGGGGUGUCCCUUUCCUGCUCCCUCCAUCCCAGUUGAUGCUGUCCCAGCUCCAUUUCACAGUGUAGGGCAGGAAUUCCCUUCUCCUGCAGAGUUUAGGAGAGCAUCCCAGGAUGGUGUUGCCAAUCCAGCUCCAAACAGCGAGUGAAGGCUUUCAACGAUUUGUGAGAGGUAUUUUUCUCUCUGUGGAAAUGUUCAGACCUUCACACACAGGCCAUAUUUCUGCAUUAAGUCAAAGUGAAUGAUCUCAUACCCUUGAAUUAAAUCAGUGGGGACGAUGAUGGUAAACCUGGCUUUAUAUUGAUAGUGUCAUCUUAUUGUCCCUACUCUGCAUCUCCUUCCCCGUGGCAGCGUGGCAGUGAACCUCCAGCGUGGAUGUUCCAGCAUCCCUCUCAUUUAAUGCAGCUCUCUCUGGCCUUACAGGAUAGAUGGCUCCAUCCUAAACAGAUUAACUCCUUCUGAGGAGCCACACAAAGCGGAUUUAUGUUCCCUGGAUCUGCAUGCAAAUACACAGCUGCACGACAAGGGGACUCGUGUGCGCAUCGGGGACAAAACACACCCUGAAAAGCCCCUCCCCACAUCCACAGGCCUGCAGAGAGGAAGAGCAGGAGGAACAGUGAGAGGCUGAUCCCAGCCCAUGGGGGUUGCAUCAGGCUAAAUAAUAUUUAUCUGCACUCAUUUAUCUACCAGGUUCACGUGGAAUAAGACACAGGUGACUCACUCGAUGGGAAUUUUUUGUCUCUCAAACACUAUUAAACUUCUGGAAAGCUCACAGCAUCAAACUCUUACUAAAAAGUUUCUUUUUUAUACGUACAAAUUUACAACAGCAAACAGCAAAUUCUUGAAGACAGAGUAGAGACCUGUCCCUAGAAUACAGAAUGAUAUCACACGAAUUUCUGUGUUUCAGCUCCAUUUAAUAACACCCAAUUUUUCUAACCCAAUGGCAAAAUAAUUUUUCUAAACUACUAGCAAAUUUAUUCUAUUCUCUCCUAAUAAAAAUUGAGAUGUCCUGAUCAAGGGUUUGAUGCAAAACUGAAAGAAACCAGUGAUAAUCUUUCCACUGACCUCAAUAAGCUUGGAUAGAGACCCUGAAAUAAAAGUUAAUGUGUAUCAGGAGAAACAGUGAGCUGGAAGUGAAACAACACAGAUAAAUCUAUUGCCUAAAAUUGCUGCAGGAAUAGCAUUUGUCUGAUGUUUUUUAGUAUAGUUACAUUCUAAAAUACAUUCUCUGUGUGGUUAUAGCAAGCUUUUUCCUUAAAUGAAAAAAAAUGGAGCCAGUCAGACUUCUCCAUUUGAAUGCUGAUGGCAUUUUUCAUUUUUAUGCCCUUCUCCAAAGCAGAAAAGCAGGAGAUUUUGCUGAAGCGAUAAGGGAAUUUAUACAUUCAGAACAGAUCUGCACUAUUAUGACUCCAACAUGUAAUGCUGAGGCAAUAAAAUUUAUGACUGUCUUCCUCAGUGCCUUAAUGAGGCAUUGCGAGGCUCACUGUAUAUUUGCAAAUGUCUUAACAGAUAAUGAUUUUAAAAAGUACUGGAGUACAGCUGCCAGCACAAAUGGUCAUAACACCAAUUAUCUUCACAGGAUUUAGUCAUUAUGUGGAAUCAGAGGCAAAACUGAAUCACGGGCCAGUUUUCUCCUCCAGUUUGUGAGGGAAGUCAAGGGAACACAUUUCUCCAGACCCAUCUCCUGUUAGCUUUCCUCUCCACUGCUGCCAUAAUCCAAGCAAUUAAACUGAGCCUCCUGAUGAGACUUAUUACUUUUAAUCCGGCUUGUUACGGGGCAUAAGUGGUUUUGCUAAUCUGUUUUUGGCACGCCUGCUUUUCUCAGCACAGCCCUCCUUGUGAUGGGAGCAGGGGUGCUCCGGGAGCACCUGGCACAGGCUCCCUGAUGGAUGAGUGGCUGACACCCCACUCAAGCGAGUGAUCCUAAAUCCGCAACAAUCAGCUCAGAGUCAUGUGGGACCGGGGAGAGAUGGGGAAGGUGAGUGGAUUGACAAAAUCAAUUGUGGAAAUAAAUUCCUUGCAGAAAACUCUCCAUAGCUGUACAUCUUUGGGCCUGAAAGUGCAAGAAAGUGGGAUCACCUUUGUUGCCUAUCUCCAAGCUCCCCAGACUCUUCCUUGUUUUUUGGAGUGAGUUUGUUUGUUUGGGGAGGAAAUGGCAAAUUAUUAAAACCUUCCAUCUCUUCUGUUUCACUGCCAAGCCACAGCCAAAGCCACGGGCUUGUUUAAGGUCAGGCCAGUGUAUGGGGGUUUGGGGCAUUCCAGAAAGGUGCAAUCAUAGAGUCAUGGAAUGAUUUGGGUUGGAAAGGACCUUAAAGAUAAUCUCGAUCCAACCUCCUGCCAUGAACAGCAAUGCCACCCAUGAGAUCAGCUUGCUCAGGGCCCCGGAUGACCUGGCCAAUGACUGAUGCUAACUUCAUUUCCCCUAAAUUCAGAAUCGAGCAAUCAGAAGCAGCAACGUCUCUGUUUCCCAGAAGAAGGACAUCUGUGGCCCAUUGACCUCUUCAACUUCCCCAUUUGCUUUUAGAGUGAAGGGAGAGCCCUUUAUGUGUCAUUUUUCCUGGGAAACUCAACUAAGAGCAGCCUUUGGCAGAGGAUUGCGUCAGCAGCUGAAGGCUGCUCCUGGUUUUCAAAGCACGGGAUCCUGCUGGCUCCUGGGGGGUCCCUAUUCCAGCAGCAGCGGGUUUGGGAGACACUGAGGGCUGCUCUGCUAAGCAGUGACUCAGCUCCCCACUAGAAAGGUCAGAGGUUUACUCAUAGGUCAUGAUGAAGUCAUUAGUCCUGAAUUUCCAUCAUACUGGACGGAAUUCAACCAGCUCCCACGGCCUCAGUGUUCAUCCGAGCAAUUCCUCUUGGCUGGCUCUGAGUGAAGCCAUGGAGAGAUGUCAGGACACUGAUCUGAUCUGCCCUGCACCCCUGCAGCAGCCACAGUUUACUGCCCAGGUCUGAAGGACAAACCUUCACCAUGCUGUCUUGUCUGCUCCCACACCUGAAUGGCCAGAUAAGGCAGAAACCUGUUUAUUAAUUUAGCUUCCAGGUCAGGCAUGAAAGGAAAGGAUGUGAUGAGCUCACUGGCUUAAUGUCCUUAGCUGCUUGGGUUGAUUUAAGGUAUGUGUUUUGGUAAGGUCCAGAGACCAAUUUUUCCUGUCUAAUAAAGCAGAUAAAUGGAAAGGAAACAUUUGCCUCAAAAUAUUUUCUGCAAACGCCCAUGGUUUUUCCCUCUGAA